GUUGCACCUCGCACUUAGGGACACGGUUUAUUGGGUGACUUUGGUAGUAGGGUGAUGAUGGUUAGACCAGAUGAUCUUGGAGGUCUUUUCCAACCUUAAUGAUUCUAUGAUUCUUAUGAUUUAAAAAGGAAACCU